UCAGGAUGAACGCUGGCGGCGUGCUUAACACAUGCAAGUCGAACGGAGAUACUAUGUGAGCGGAGAUAGCUUGCUAUUAACAAUCUUUAGUAUCUUAGUGGCGGACGGGUGAGUAACGCGUGGAUAACCUGCCUUGUACUGGGGGAUAACACUUAGAAAUAGGUGCUAAUACCGCAUAGGCGCACAGGACCGCAUGGUCUGGUGUGAAAAAUUCCGGUGGUACAAGAUGGAUCCGCGUCUGAUUAGCUAGUUGGUAAGGUAACGGCCUACCAAGGCAACGAUCAGUAGCCGGCUUGAGAGAGUGAACGGCCACAUUGGGACUGAGACACGGCCCAAACUCCUACGGGAGGCAGCAGUGGGGAAUAUUGCACAAUGGGCGAAAGCCUGAUGCAGCGACGCCGCGUGAGUGGAGAAGUAUUUCGGUACGUAAAGCUCUAUCAGCAAGGAAGAAAAUGACGGUACUUGACUAAGAAGCCCCGGCUAACUACGUGCCAGCCGCGGC
rnacentral:rRNA from 1 species